GGGGAAUAUUGCACAAUGGGCGCAAGCCUGAUGCAGCGACGCCGCGUGAGCGAAGAAGGUUUUCGGAUCGUAAAGCUCUGUCCUCUGGGAAGAAAAAAUGACGGUACCAGAGGAGGAAGCCCCGGCUAACUACGUGCCAGCAGCCGCGGUAAUACGUAGGGGGCUAGCGUUGUCCGGAUUUACUGGGUGUAAAGGGCGUGUAGCCGGGAAGGCAAGUCAGAUGUGAAAUCUGGAGGCUCAACCUCCAAACUGCAUUUGAAACUGCUUUUCUUGAGUGUCGGAGAGGUAAUCGGAAUUCCUUGUGUAGCGGUGAAAUGCGUAGAUAUAAGGAAGAACACCAGUGGCGAAGGCGGAUUACUGGACGAUAACUGACGGUGAGGCGCGAAAGCGUGGGGAGCAAACA
rnacentral:rRNA from 1 species